UACGUAGGGAGCAAGCGUUGUCCGGAUUUGCUGGGUGUAAAGGGUGCGUAGGCGGCUUUGCAAGUCAGAAGUGAAAUCCAUGGGCUUAACCCAUGAACUGCUUUUGAAACUGCAGAGCUUGAGUGGAGUAGAGGUAGGCGGAAUUCCCGGUGUAGCGGUGAAAUGCGUAGAGAUCGGGAGGAACACCAGUGGCGAAGGCGGCCUGCUGGGCUCUAACUGACGCUGAGGCACGAAAGCGUGGGUAGCAAACAGG
rnacentral:rRNA from 1 species